CCUACGGGGUGCUGCAGUGGGGAAUAUUGGACAAUGGGCGAAAGCCUGAUCCAGCCAUGCCGCGUGUGUGAAGAAGGCCUUCGGGUUGUAAAGCACUUUCAGUGGGGAAGAAAGCCUUGGGGCUAAUACCCUCGAGGAAGGACAUCACCCACAGAAGAAGCACCGGCUAACUCCGUGCCAGCAGCCGCGGUAAUACGGAGGGUGCGAGCGUUAAUCGGAAUUACUGGGCGUAAAGCGCGCGUAGGCGGUCUGAUAAGCCGGUUGUGAAAGCCCCGGGCUCAACCUGGGAACGGCAUCCGGAACUGUCAGGCUAGAGGGCAGGAGAGGAAGGUAGAAUUCCCGGUGUAGCGGUGAAAUGCGUAGAGAUCGGGAGGAAUACCAGUGGCGAAGGCGGCCUUCUGGACUGACACUGACGCUGAGGUGCGAAAGCGUGGGUAGCAAACAGGAUUAGAUACCCGGGUAGUC
rnacentral:rRNA from 1 species